rnacentral:rRNA from 1 species
UGCUUUGCAUCACAGACCUGUUAUUGCCUCCAACUUCCAUCAACUUGAGUUGAUAGUCUCUCUAAGAAGCCGGCGACCAGCCAAAGCUAGCCUGGCUAUUUAGCAGAGGAAGGUCUCGCUCGUUAUCGCAAUUAAGCAGACAAGUCACCCCACGAACUAAGAACGGCCAUGCACCACCACCUGAAAAAUCAAGAAAGAGCUCUCAAUCUGUCAAUCCUUAUUUCAUCUGGACCUGGUGAGUUUCCCCGUGUUGAGUCAAAUUAAGCCGCAGGCUCCACGCCUGGUGGUGACCUUCCGUCAAUCCUUUAAGUUAACACCCAUGUCUUUUGCGCACUUGUUGUUUCCUGGGGGGGUUCGCCCGCCACCAGGACCACACCAUAAACCUUUUUUAUGCAGUUGCAAUCAGCGUCAGUAUAACAAAUGUAAAUCAUUUACAACUUUCAACAACGGAUCUCUUGGUUCUGGCAUCGAUGAAGAACGCAGCGAAAUGCGAUACGUAGUGUGAAUUGCAGAAUUCAGUGAAUCAUCGAAUCUUUGAACGCACAUUGCGCCCUUUGGUAUUCCAAAGGGCAUGCCUGUUCGAGCGUCAUUUGUACCCUCAAGCUUUGCUUGGUGUUGGGCGUUUGUCUUUGGCUUUUGCCCAAAGACUCGCCUUAAAACGAUUGGCAGCCGGCCUACUGGUUUCGGAGCGCAGCACAUUUUUGCGCUUGCAACUAGCUAAAGAGGCCAGCAAUCCAUCAAGACCUUCUUCUCACUUUUGACCUCGGAUCAGGUAGGGAUACCCGCUGAACUUAAGCAUAUCAAUAAGCGGAGGAAAGU